UGUAAACCCAAGAGCCAAAACUGUCAAACAAAGGAAAAGACAAUUUGCACCCGAAUGGUGCGAAGUCAUACGAGAAGAGAUUGCCAAGCUCCUCAAUGCACAAUUCAUCCGAGAAGUGCAAUAUCCUGACUGGCUCGCCAAUGUAGUUCUCGUGAAAAAGACCAAUGGAAAGUGGCGAGUUUGCAUUGACUUCACUGAUUUAAACAAAGCAUGUCCGAAAGAUAGCUAUCCCCUACCUCGGAUUGACAGUCUCGUUGACAGCAUUUCGGGUCACAAAUUGUACAGCUUUUUGGAUGCAUUCUCAGGAUACCACCAAAUACCAAUGGCCACAGAAGAUCAAGAGAAGACCUCAUUCAUGGCCAAUUCUGCCAUCUAUUGUUAUAAGGCCAUGCCAUUCGGCUUAAAGAACGCAGGGGCUAUAUAUCAGAGGCUAAUCAACAAGGUCUUUGCUGAUUUAAUUGGAAAAACCAUUGAGGCUUAUGUAGAUGACAUGGUGGUCAAAAGUAAACAGGUGACUGAUCAUAUCACCGAUCUUGAAGAAGUGUUUUCCAUGCUGGGAAAAUACAACAUGAAGCUUAACCCAACAAAAUAUGCCUUUGGGGUAGCAUCAGGAAAGUUUCUAGGUUUCAUGAUCACAAAUAGAGGGAUAGAAGCCAGCCCUGACAAGAUCCAAGCCCUAAUAUCUAUGGAAGCCCCGAAGAGCAAAAAAGACAUCCAAAAGCUUACAGGUCGGGUAACAGCCUUGAACAGAUUUGUCUCUCGAGUAGCGGACAGAUGUUUCCCCUUUUUCAAAGUUCUAAGAGGACACAAGAGCUUUGAAUGGAAUGAUGAAUGCGAGCUAACCUUCCAAUAGCUUAAGCAAACUUUAGCUGUACCUCUAGUUCUUGCCAAACUAGAGCCUGGUGAUAAUUUGUUCCUUUACUUGGCUGUUUCUCGAAAUGCCAUAAGUGGGGUACUAGUAAAGGAAAAAGGAAAGGUGCAGCAACCCAUCUACUAUGUCAGUAAAGUACUUCUUGACACCGAGACUCGGUAUAACCUUGUGGAACAGUUAGCUCUUGCCUUGAUAGUAACUGCUAGAAAGUUGCGGCAAUAUUUCC
rnacentral:lncRNA from 1 species